GCUGGGUGUGGUGGUGCACGCCUGUGGUCUCAACUACUGGGGAGGCUGAGAUAGGAGGAUUGCUUGAGCCUGGGAGGUCAAGGCUGCAGUGUGCUUUGAUUGUACCGCUGCACUCUAGCCUGGGUGAGAGAGUGAGAUCCUGUCUCAG
ensembl:misc_RNA Metazoa_SRP Metazoan signal recognition particle RNA